UGAGGAACCUGCCCCGAAGACCGGGACAACACCGGGAAACCGGUGCUAAUACCGGAUAUCCCCAUCGAAUCGCAUGGUUUGAUGAGGAAAUGGAUUCCGCUUUGGGAGGGCCUCGCGGCCUAUCAGCUUGUUGGUGAGGUAACGGCUCACCAAGGCUUCGACGGGUAGCUGGUCUGAGAGGACGACCAGCCACACUGGGACUGAGACACGGCCCAGACUCCUACGGGAGGCAG
rnacentral:rRNA from 1 species